rnacentral:rRNA from 1 species
AACGAACGCUGGCGGCAGGCUUAACACAUGCAAGUCAAACGGCUGUAGCAAUACAGCAGUGGCGCACGGGUGAGUAACACGUGGGAAUCUCCCUUUCAGUAUGGGAUAACGUUGGGAAACGUGACGCUAAUACCGUAUACACCUCCGGGUGAAAGAUUUAUCGCUGAAAGAUGAGCCCGCGUCAGAUUAGCUAGUUGGUGGGGUAA